rnacentral:rRNA from 1 species
UGGGGAAUUUUGGACAAUGGGCGAAAGCCUGAUCCAGCAAUGCCGCGUGUGUGAAGAAGGCCUUCGGGUUGUAAAGCACUUUUGUCCGGAAAAGAAAUCCUUGGCUCUAAUACAGUCGGGGGAUGACGGUACCGGAAGAAUAAGCACCGGCUAACUACGUGCCAGCAGCCGCGGUAAUACGUAGGGUGCAAGCGUUAAUCGGAAUUACUGGGCGUAAAGCGUGCGCAGGCGGUUUGCUAAGACCGAUGUGAAAUCCCCGGGCUCAACCUGGGAACUGCAUUGGUGACUGGCAGGCUAGAGUAUGGCAGAGGGGGGUAGAAUUCCACGUGUAGCAAGUGAAAUGCGUAGAGAUGUGGAGGAAUACCGAUGGCGAAGGCAGCCCCCUGGGCCAAAUACUGACGCUCAUGCACGAAAAGCGUGGGGGAGCAAAACAGGAUUAGAUACCCUGGUAGUCCACGCCCUAAAACGAUGUCAACUAGUUGUUGGGGGAUUCAUUUCCUUAGUAACGUAGCUAACGCGUGAAGUUGACCGCCUGGGGAGUACGGUCGCAAGAUUAAAACUCAAAGGAAUUGAC